ACUUCCAUUUUCCAUAACGUAUCAUGAUUCCUUUCAAUUCUCUCUUGCAUACCAGUCGGUUCAGGGUUCAUCUAGAUACUCUUUCCAUGAACUUCUGCUCAAACCCAACGAAUGAGCAGCUCUCUCAUGUCCGUCUCUUCGGUUGAUUUUCAUUGUUAGAUUAAAGCACCUAUCUAUAAUCUAUCAUCCCAGUCGAAACAACAUCCGCUCCCUUACCUGAACAAGACCAAAUCUUUCGAUAUGGCGUCCCAAGUGACAUGCAAGCUACAUCGAGGUAGGUUUCUUUGCAAAACAGGACAUCUUCAAGAGCUUAUAGGCCCUUGAUGAAGGUAAAUCAUGUGUAUUACCGUUCCAGAUUUCCAGUGUCUAGGAAAUGGAAGAGUUGGACUUUAUAUCUUUUUUCUGUGUAUCUACCAAUAAUGUAACCGGUAUAAAUGCAGUUAUUGUUGAUGAACAGGUAGUUAUCGUUUCCACUUUGGGAUCCAUAUGCGAUUCUCCUAUUUUACUUUACGUUUUGGAAAUUUUGUUGUCCUAACACAUUCUUUGAUACGGAGAGAUGAUUUACAAGCCAUUAUUCAAAAGGAAUCUCAUCUGGAAAUUUGAUAAAAGGUCCACAGAGAACUUACAGUGGUCCACUGCCAAACCCAAAUUCUAGCUAUCUAACAGCAUAAAAGAUAAUAUCCUUUUGGUGGAAUACAAAAUCAUUGAACAAUUCAGGAGGUGUUGGUUGGUUCCAGGGAUGCUGUCAAACUCGCUUUUGGGCGGUGCUAAUACUGAAAGAUCAAAGGGAAUUUCUGCGUCUCCGUCAAUGCUUCCAAAGUGUACUCCAAUAUUGACAUCCCAGUUGUUGUGGAAUUGCGUGAAUGAAUUUCAUGGGGAACAAGAACGAGUUACUUUUCACGGGGAAUUGGAAAUCUUAUUGAUGAUUGAAGUUUCGGUAGAUCUCAAGUUGUCAACACUAUAACUUCCAAUUUAAGCUCCAUCUGUGUUAAGAUUAAGUUCUUAAGAUUCAAAGUGAUUCAGGGGUUGUCAUUCAACGAAAAACUUGAGAUAUAUAUGAAGCAGCUGCCAUGAAUUAUGUAGGUAUGAAAAAAUUAUUGCUUCUAUUUUAUGUAAGAUUUCGAUAUUUUUUAAAACUUCGCUUCGUCUCCAAUGUGUUUUUGAUGCAAGAAGGUAAAUAAUAUGUCAAUGUUGAUGGUUUUUUGAACAGUACAAUCUAAUGCCAAGGUAAAGAUUGUUUGACCAGGCUCGAAUUUUCUGUAGGUUUGCUUAUUGACAAAAAUUCGGCAGUUCACUAUCUGUGCUUUCUUUCUUUUACCAGGUCUUAUGAUCUUUAGAUUUCAAUCCUUCACAAGUUUAGUAACAAUUAAUUUUCCUGAAUUCGAAAAACUUUAAAGUGUUACAAGGAUAACUCACUAUCUGCAAAGUAAGCAUUACAUGACAGUUGGUGCUCCCGGUUGUUGUAGUGGAUGAAAAAGAGGACUUGGCACAGGUCAUGAAAAGUGGUUCAGUUUAAUAAUGCGUUGGAGGACAAUUUCAGUGUGCGGUAAAACUUGGUGCGAUGUAAAUAUAAGUUGAUACCCUGUUUGUAGCCUUUAGCUACCAACCUAGGCAUUUGAUACUUAAUUUCUUUACAGGUAGGUGUCACUCCCCCAAUUUUAAGCUAUAUUGGCCUCACUUUUCUGUCUCAUAUAUUUCGCUUUGAAUUCAAUUUGGAGCUUCUAGAAUAACAUACUCCGGAUGCUACAUGUCAGCUCAAACAUCUGAACAGAAAUGGGCAAUACAUCACCGAUCUUAAUGGUUCCACAUCAGAUAUUUGAUUUUAUUAGAAUUUAAAUUCGCUGACGUUGUCCCUUAUUUACUUUAUAUUUUUCUA